UCCGAGGUCGUCUAAUGGUAGGACAGCGGCCUUUGAAGCCGUUUAUCGGGGUUCGAAUCCCUGCCUCGGAACCA
rnacentral:tRNA from 1 species